AGAGUUUGAUCAUGGCUCAGGACGAACGCUGGCGGCGGGCCUAACACAUGCAAGUCGAACGCGAUCCGUUGGUGCUUGCACCGACACAUGAUCGAGUGGCGAACGGGUGAGUAACACGUGAGGAACCUGCCCCGAAGCUCGGGACAACCACGGGAAACCGUGGCUAAUACCGAAUGACCUCCUUUGACCGCAUGGUCAGUUGAGGAAAGUUCAGGCGCUUCGGGAGGGUCUCACGGCCUAUCAGCUAGUUGGUGAGGUAACGGCUCACCAAGGCAACGACGGGUAGCUGGUCUGAGAGGACGAUCAGCCACACUGGGACUGAGACACGGCCCAGACUCCUACGGGAGGCAGCAGUGGGGAAUCUUGCGCAAUGGGCGAAAGCCUGACGCAGCCACGCCGCGUGAGGGAAGACGGCCUUAGGGUUGUAAACCUCUUUCAGCAGGGACGAAAAUGACGGUACCUGCAGAAGAAGCCCCGGCCAACUACGUGCCAGCAGCCGCGGUAACACGUAGGGGGCAAGCGUUGUCCGGAAUUAUUGGGCGUAAAGGGUGCGUAGGUGGUUUGAUUAGUCUGUCGUUAAAACUCCCGGCUUAACCGGGAAGAUGCGAUAGAAACGGUCAAACUAGAGGGGGUGAGAGGCAUAUGGAACUCAUGGUGUAGGGGUGAAAUCCGUUGAUAUCAUGGGGAACGCCGAAGGUGAAGACAGUAUGCUAGCACUUCUCUGACACUGAGGCACGAAAGCGUGGGGAUCGAAUGGGAUUAGAUACCCCAGUAGUCCACGCCCUAAACGAUGAUCACUGGCUUUUCGGAGUAUCGACCCUCUGAGAGGCGAAGCUAACGCGUUAAGUGAUCCGCCUGGGAAGUACGAUCGCAAGAUUAAAACUCAAAGGAAUUGACGG
rnacentral:rRNA from 1 species